UCAGGAUUAAGAGUAGAAGAAGGCAUCUAGAAGCCGCAAAUUCAUCUCCCACUCCUCAUUGAAACCCUAAAACUUCGGAACAGAUGACUACCAAAGGAGAAAAGAGGAUAGUGAGCGAAGAAGACAAGAAAUUCGCCAAGAAUUUCAACAUAAUGGAUCACCCCGACAUCCCUACCGGUCUUCCUCCGCAUCUGCAACUCCAGCGACCUCGUGUCCUCUGUAAAAACGACGCUCCUAUUCAUGUCUCUCUCUUUACUUUAUCUUUCUUUGAGUUGGGUUUGGUCUCUCUCUUUAAUCUUUGUGUGCGUGUUCCCCGUAGACGGCGAGUGUCACUUACUCGGGUGCCUAUAACGCCGUGGGAGUGGACAACAGUGUGAAACUUGAAAACUUCUCUGAGAAUUUCAAAGUUGAUGUCAUCCAACUUUCAAAAGAUGGCAUGGAGUUGACAUUUGAUAUGAUCGGUAUAGAUGCAGCAAUCGCCAAUGCCUUCCGAAGGAUCCUUCUAGCUGAGGUCUCUCUGUCAAAGUUAAAUCUUUGAUUCUUUAGUCUUUUUUGUUUUAAAGGUGUUUCCUUUUGUUCUUGCUGCAGCUUCCUACGAUGGCUUUUGAAAAAGUGUUUAUAGCAAACAACACAUCCAUUGUUCAAGAUGAAGUUCUUGCUCAGAGGAUGGGUCUUGUUCCCAUUGCUGCAGACCCCAAGCUCUUCGAGUACUUAUCUGGUACGACAGACAUUAUGUGGCAUUUGAUUCUUUUAUCUGUAGGCAAUUAUAUAUGUUCAGUUAUUUAUCUCUGUGUCCAUAGAGAACGACCAGCCAAAUGAAAAGAACACCAUUGUCUUCAAACUCCAUGCGAAAUGCGCAAAAGGUGAAGGACGUAAGAAAGGUAAUGGUUACAUUACAUUCUUUGGUUACUAAAUAAAUGUUCCUAUCUCUCAUUAAUAAUGCUGUCUUUCUAUAGUUUUAACGAAGGAACUGAUUUGGUUACCAAAGGGGAGUGAGUUGGUUAAAGAAUCAGGAGAUUCGAACUCAAAGCCUAAAACUUACACUUCCUUCAGCCGCAGCCAAAAAGAGUCCUUCCCUGAAUUCGCUGAUAAUCCUAUCUCUCCGAGCUAUCCUGACAUUCUGAUCGCAAAGCUCGGCCCUGGUCAGGUACUUUUUUUAUAUUUUCUUACGAAUUUACUUGCAAUGAGAGAUGAAUCAAACACUUGUAAAACUUUAUGUAGGAGAUUGAGCUGGAGGCUCAUGCGGUUAAGGGCAUUGGUAAAACACAUGCAAAGUGGUCACCGGUAGCCACGGCUUGGUAUCGAAUGCUUCCUGAGGUGACAAAUUUAUAACUUCAGCUUCAUUCAGUCUUGCCUCCUGAUCCUAGUCUUUUCUUGUAAUGAUUCUUGUUUGGUAAUAUAUCUUUUAGGUUAUUCUACUAGGGGAAGUUGAGGAUGAAGAUGCUGAACGACUAGUAAAAGCCUGCCCGGAGAAUGUUUUUGACAUUGAAGACAUGGGCAAUGGUAAAAGUAAAAUCCUUCCUUUAAACAAUAGGAGAGGAUGAUGACUUUGGCUGCAACCACUAUCUCUCACUCUCUGCUGUUGGAUUAUCCUAACUGACUUUGCGGAAAUGGAACACAGGUAGGAAGAGGGCAACAGUAGCACGGCCACGUGAUUGCACGUUGUGUAGGCAAUGCGUGAGGCAAAAUUAUGGAGAGGAAGUAAACAAAGGAGUAGAAGAAAAAGAAUGGAUAGAGAAUGUGUCUCUUCGACGUGUCAAGAACCAUUUUAUAUGUAAGCAAAAAAAAAAAACAUUUCAUUUUGCUCUUCAUUUCAUGAUCUGUCUGAAAGAAAAAUGUGAUUGAGUUUGUGUAUGUUUUUUGUUUCAGUUAAGAUUGAGUCUACUGGAUCAUUGCCUCCGGAUGUUCUCUUCACUGAAGCUGUCAAGAUAUUGGAAGAUAAAUGUGAACGUGUUAUCGCUAACCUCUCCUGAAAGAAGAUUGAUUGGUUUAGUACUUUAGUUCUCUACUGGCAUGGUUCCGGUUUAGUUCGGUUUUGGGUUUUGCAUCAAAUCUUCUCCUUGAUUUCAAUACUAAUAACAUUGAAAUGUUCAUGUUGCAUCGGUUCGUUUGAGUUCAAAUUGAAAUUCAAUCAUCUUGAUUCUAACUAGGUUCACCAAAUUGAAACUUUGUUUUGGGUUUGUUUGGUUUUCUACGAGCUUAUGUAGAAUUGAACCGUUAAAUUCAGAACGAUAUAAAUUUCUUGCUCCAAUUUGGUUUCUUUCUGAAUUCUUGAACGUUGGCUAUAAGAAACCGAGUAACUAGGUGAUACGUUUUACUGUAUCAAACUUGUAGAACAGAGAUUAAAGAGAAAUACUGAUUAUAUUUAAUAUGAUAAGUUAUUACAGGUUUGAGAGAAAUUGUACUCUCCAUGAACAUGAUUUGAUCAAGCCUGUCAUGGCAUAACAGGACAAACUUAUCUAAACCACUGGCUCAUAAUCUUGGCAAGAGAAGAUUCAUCUGGGGAUGAAACAAGUCCUAUACAUUAAGUUAUUUACAACGGUGUCUCUAGCUUUCCCAGGAGGUCAGGUAAUAGUCUUGAGAUGGAAGAGGGAAGUGCUUCCUAAAAGCAUCCUCCACCUCAAUCAUCCACAUAGAAACCCAUUAAAUUUGAACAAUCAUUUCACAAUCAACUAGUGUUUCGCCAGGUUCUCUGUUAAAUUCACACAAUAUGAACACUUUCACCUGAGUAAGAACGUACAUCACCCUUUUCCCUUUAGUUCGAUUGAGAGAAGUGAAACGAAGACGCAGAAGAACCAACCAUACCUAUCUCAUGUGAUGGAUUCAGGAAGCACGGCUUGCAAUACAUUGAGAUAAAACUAAACGAUGACGUAUAAGGCAUUAAUGCGUUGAGUUUAAAUACGGCGGAAUAUUGGAUAUGUGAAGUUAUUUAUUUCCUCCCACAUUGCUGGUUUACAAGCAAGCCGUAAUGUUUAUAUAGCGAUGAGAAUAAGAUGAAGGUCACGACCUUACUUGAACAGGAUCUGUUCUAUAGGCUCGUACCUCUGUAUCCUUGAUUUCUAAGGAGACAGGCCCCUAAACCUGGUUGAUGAAUCAUAACCAUGCGAUCUGAGUGUGAUUAACGGUUACGACUGUCUUUCGGACUCUCCGCGCUGUAGAGGAUCGCUAUCCGGCUUGGUCUGACCUCUCCGGAGUGGUCGCAUGGCUGUCUGACAGGCCUCUUUUUUUAUUUAUUUUAAAGCCCCUCUCAGGUUUUAAAAAUUUUCACCUCUAUUUCUUUAACAGUUUUUGCCUAUCACCGACCCAGAAUCCAUUUACCAUCGGAUCGAACAGUCUAAAAUGAAGAAUGAAGAUCAUAAUCAUUUUACAAUACUUGCUUGUUCUUAUCGUGACUCUGCAUCCUUCGAAGCUCAAACUAUAUGGGAUCAGAGUGAACUUUCGGUGAACUUUGUAGUUUAAAGACUUAUCGAACCGCUUAAGUUUCAGAGUAUUGAGUUUUGAGGAUAGUUUGGUGAUUAUCUACUCUCACAACACAUUGAGCUAUGGCUUUAAAGUUAUUGUUGCAAGACAUAUGAGUAUAUGACUAGACAGAAUUCACCCGAGUCAAUUCUUUUGAUUCGAAAUGAAAUGGGAACAUGAUUAUGUGGACUGGUACUGAUUAGUUAUUACCAAACCUUAAGGCAUCAAGUUUUGUUGUUCUUUGAGUUUAUUUGGCUCGCUCGGCUCAAAAUGAUUCCACAAUCUUUUUUUUAAUCAUAUCAAAGUAUUUCUUCUGAGGGUCCAUGUUUCCUCCAAUCAGAAAGAGUUGUAUAUAUAUGGCAUUUUGAGUUCUAAAAUUAGAUUUUUAUAUAUUUGUACGAGAUGGAGUACAUUCCUCCACAAAGCCCAUCAGAUAGCAGGUCUUCCCCAUCAAAUCCAGGAAUCAGCUCGGCUCGAGCCUCAAAAACGAUGCAUUAGCUUGGCUUGUUAUUACUUUUAGCCAACCAAAAAGAGCGACUAAAAGCAUCCACAUCAGCGGUUCGAGAUAACGACCUGGUUACUCAGCUCGACAAGAUAAAACCCAUUAGGACAAGGCCGCCUAGGGGAAAGAGAAAUGCAAACCAUCUAUAUAAGGAGUCAAAAGGGACAACAAGAAAGGGAUCCGAACAUCACCAUACACAAUUGGCGGCUAGAAUUUAGGUUUUAUUUGCUUUGUAUUCUUGUCAGCUUGUACUUUCCCAGCUAGCUCUCUAAGCACCGGCUUGUUUCACCAUUCGUUUUCUCAUUUGUAACCAACAAACAUUUUUCUGAUCUAAUAAAACGCAUUCGAAACUAAUCCACCGACGAGUUUCGUCUCUUUACUUGUUUCCGACCAAACUCGGUUCAGAUAAUAUUUUCUGAUAAAUGUCGGGUAAUUCAUAUAAAUUUAAAUAUUUAGGUAAUUCAGUACUUUCGAAUGAUCCAUAUAAUUUUAAAUAUUUUGGAUAAAAAAAUAUCAGAGUAAUUCAAUUUUUAUGGUAGUUUAAUAUAUAACUAGUAUUUUAAAAUGUUUAAAAAACAAAUAUUUUAAAAAAUAAUGUAAUAAUUUUAAAACUAAAUAUAAUACAUACAUGUGAUCUCCAUUUCUUUUUUCAACUUGUUGAAUAAAGUUAUGUUCAUAUUUGAUGUUGGAUGCAAAUAUUCAUAUAUGUUAGUUUGGACAAUAUUGCAUAUGUAUCCAAAUGCUGCAUAUGGAAAAUUUAGAUAUUUUAGAUGCAAAAAUUUAGAGUUUGAAUGCAAAAUUAACAUCUUAAAAUCCAAAAAAUAAAUAUACGCCAGUACAAGUAUAAGUAUAAAAUGCCUAAUUUUAUAUUAAUUAGUUAUAUAUAUAUAUUUAUAUAUUUAAAACCAAAAAUUAUAUAUUCUGUCGACACUGAAAAUCAUGGGUUUCUAUCAAAAUUAUAAAAUCAUGUUUUUUUACCAAGAUGUAAAACCAAACAGUAAAAUUAAGGUUUUCUGCCAAGACCAUAAAAUCAAAAUUUUCCAUAAAAAAACUACAUUUUUCCACGAAAACCGUAAUACCACGUUUUUCAUGCUUAACGGUAAAAUAAAAAUUUCCUGCCAACAUUGUAAUAUUGUCUUUUCCUUGCAAAACAAUUUUGCAUCAAAAUCAUAAAAUCGUGUUUUCUAUAGUAAAAAUGAGUUUUCCACCAAAUAUGAAAACGAACAUAGCUUAAAUGCAUACCUCAUAUUUGUUUUUCAACACCUUUUUUUUUUCAACACCUUCACUCCACUUAAAUCAGAAGUUGAAUCAUUGUUUCGACACCCUUGUUGCAUAUAAUGGCAGAAUAGAUACCAACGUUCCAGGCUUCUAGCAUAGGUUCGUUUGGGUUCAAAUUGAAAUUCAAUAAUCUUGAUUAUAAAUAUAUAAUAUCUUCAUCAACUUGGAAAUUUGUUUAGGUUAAAUUGGUUUUCUACGAGACUUACGUAGAAUUGAACCGAUAAAAUUGGUAUCAAUUUUUUCUCCAUUUUGGUUUCUUUCUGAAACUUUUAACGUUGGCUGAAAAGUACCGAUCGACCAUGAGUAACCAGCCGGGUUUUGUACCGGUUUUGAUUUCAUUUUGGAAAAAGUAUUCUUCCAGUAACAGCCAAAAAUCAGUUUCUAAGGAAUCCGUAGCUGAAAUCAAAGACUCUAGCUUUCCGAUCAAACAUAUCUUUUAGCAAACCAAAUCCAAAAGAGUGUAAGCAAAUGCGAUUGUGAUUGAGAGAAAGAAACCUUUUUGUUUCAGUUCAUUGAGAUAAACUAAACGAUGACGUAUGGAUGUUUUGAGCUUCGUAUGUCUGAACUCUGAAGUUGUUUAUUCCUCCCACAUCGGAACACACGGAAAGAAACUGUGUUGUUUAUAUAGCGAAGAGAAGAAGGUAGAGGUCACGACCUUACUUGAACAGGAUCUGUUCUAUAGGCUCGUACCUCUGUAUCCUUGAUAUCUAAGGAGAUAGACCCCUAAACCUGGUUGAUGAAUCAUGACCGUGCGAUCUGAGUGUGAUUAACGGCUACGACAGGCCUCGGACUCUCCGCGCUGUAGAGGAUCGCUAUCCGGCUUGGUCUGACCUCUCCGGAGUGGUCGCACGGUUGUCUGACAGGCUACCUUUUUUAAAACCCCAUGUCUUAUGAACCUCAAUUUUCUAGCUUAUACCUGUUUCUCACCUUCAAAAUGUUUUGUUUUAUGAAAACUAGUAUGGUCUUGUAACUAGGUUUCAAGCCUUGAGCCUAAAUCACAUUUGCUUUCUUGUUAAAUGCAAAAGACACUAAAGCCGUGGUAUGACUAUAAUGUUGUAUUUUGUGGGAACGAAAGUUAACAGUGAUUGUACUUGUAUUAUAAUGAAGAUUCCAAGAAUCUGUGGGCACUUGGCAGAUUGAUCCUUUUGGACGUUCUGCAGUAGACUCCAUUUUAGUAUUAUGUUUUGUUUUUGGAUCCAGAGGUGUGAAGGUUUAUGUUGGAAGAGGAGUCUAAUGUUAGAACUUCUGAGCAAAUAUCUAAUAUAAAGCUACACUGUAGAGUGUGUAAUAUUCAUGCAAUUUAAAUCCAAUUAGAAUGUAUACAUAUACUUCCAUUUCUUUUGUUUUUGGUAAGCAGGAAAAAGACAGAAGCAGAUUGCAUGAACCCCUAGUUCUAUUUCAACGAUGGAGAGAAGGCGCACAAACUUUGCUUCAUAUGCUCAUAUGAUCCUCCCUUGGAAAGCUCUGAACCGUAUCUGACCAUCUCCCAGGUGAAUAAUCACUGCUGUAAGAUGACAACACUACUGCUUCGGCUCUUGCAUCCUUCACCAUCUUCAACACCUCUCGCAUCACAGGCCGCUUUUCAGGCUGAACAGCCACGCAUGCCGUGGCAAUGCUUAAAAGAGCUUCAAGUUUCUCCUCAGAAGAAUUCAUCUCCUCGCCGGAUUCAGUCUCUGCCUCUCUCACCGCGCGCACCCAUCUGGAGAUAUCAGACCCGUGUUGAUGGAAUGAUGAAGUUUUACCUGUUAGAAGCUCUAGAAGGAGGACCCCAAAGCUGUAGACAUCAGAGGGUUGUGUCGUUUCCUUGCGUGAGUCUCUGCACUCAGGAGCUUUGUAGAAGAGAGAGGAAGCACUUGUGUCUUGAGGAUCAUGGAGAUCUCUCAGACCGUAGUCCGUGAGGCAGGACUCAAAGUCAGGACCUAACAGAACAUUGGAUGAGAAGUUUGAGUUUCAAUUCCCGGAGAAGACGAAAUUAUGCAAAAAAUUAGAGAAAAUGUUUACAAAAGAUCUUCAGCAUGGUGCAAGGAGUAUCGUUAGGAAUGGAUCUCAUAUGGAUACUCAGACAAUUAGACAGAUAGAAUUGUCGACGGUAAUAUCGUGUACGUAAUGUUUCUCAUCAUUUGUAAUAGCAUAAUUAACCAGAUAAAAAAAAGAAUGAAUUUCAAUCUGGGAAAAAACGAACACGAGAACCCUCCUUCAAAAGGAUUACACACGUGUCGAUAAACCUAGCUAACUUCUUCCCCCUCCUUUGUCGCUCUCAUCUCACAGACCGCCGUUGUAACCUUUUUCGAGUUUUGCCUAGUGUUUUUGUUGUUGUUGUUUCUCACACAACUCCACCAGUUCAGUUGAGAAACGGGAAAACAAAUAAAGAAGAGAUUGGUCAGGAUUAAGAGUAGAAGAAGGCAUCUAGAAGCCGCAAAUUCAUCUCCCACUCCUCAUUGAAACCCUAAAACUUCGGAAUUGCACACUCUCAGAACAGAUGACUACCAAAGGAGAAAAGAGGAUAGUGAGCGAAGAAGACAAGAUAUUCGCCAAGAAUUUCAACAUAAUGGAUCACCCCGACAUCCCUACCGGACUUCCUCCGCAUCUGCAACUCCA
rnacentral:lncRNA from 1 species